GAAUUAUUUAAGAAAUGAAAAAACUGUCUAAGGCUUUUUACCUUCACCAUACCUGGGAUCGGUAAGACUAGGAAUUGGAGCGUAAAAAAAUCGCAAAAGCGUAUCGAACAACUAUGUUUUACUCGAACUAAAUAAUUAUGUAAAAACGGACGCACUUAUAUCGACUCGUCUUGUACCAUGGCACGCAAAGCUGUACAGAAGGAGAGGGCGUUGGACACGAACUGAAAUGACAUCAACUUGUUAUUUAUAUAUAUAACAUUCGUAAUUAACCUGUUAAUCAGAGAAAGGUAUUGUAAUCGUUAUUCGAAUUGGUAAUCCCUCGAACAUAAUACCUUUAUUUAGGGCUCUAUAUAUUUUUGUAUGCUUUCCGUCAAACUCUAAUUACAUAUGCGACGUUUACAUUUGCAGUGUCGAAAACCGAAUAAGAUGAAUUUAGUAAGCUUUAAUAUUAUGAUCGUAGGAGUCUUCUGUUCAAUGACUACCUGAUUAACAGGUUAAUUCGUUCCCUUCACAGUUUCUUCUCUGCGGACCAGUGCAUAUUAUAUAUUUAUAUCCAAGCAGAGAAUAAGAAUGCAAAGAAAUAUAAAAAUAUA